rnacentral:rRNA from 1 species
CCUACGGGGGGCAGCAGUCGAGAAUCAUUCACAAUGGGGGAAACCCUGAUGGUGCGACGCCGCGUGGGGGAAUGAAGGUCUUCGGAUUGUAAACCCCUGUCAUGUGGGAGCAAAUUAAAAAGAUAGUACCACAAUAGGAAGAGACUGCUAACUCUGUGCCAGCAGCCGCGGUAAUACAGAGGUCUCAAGCGUUGUUCGGCAUCACUGGGCGUAAAGCGUGCGUAGGCUGUUUCGUAAGUCGUGUGUGAAAGGCGCGGGCUCAAGCCGCGGACGGCACAUGAUACUGCGAGACUAGAGUAAGGGAGGGGGAACCGGAAUUCUCGGUGUAGCAGUGAAAUGCGUAGAUAUCGAGAGGAACACUCGUGGCGAAGGCGGGUUCCUGGACAUUAACUGACGCUGAGGCACGAAGGCCAGGGGAGCGAAAGGGAUUAGAUACCCCUGUAGUC